CUGCUCAAUGCCCACCAGUAAGCGAUUUUAAUGUUUUGAAGGUGAGGCUAACUGGAAUAAAGAACAGAAAUGAGAAAUAGAAGAAUAAAGACUUUCUCUUCAACCCUUUCCCUCUGACACCCCUAGGGCACUAAGCUCUAUCCAUCUUUUAAGCUCAAGAUUUGUGAACCCCUGCUUCUGACAGUUCUACCGAUUUGGAGAUAUGCAUGUUCCAUGGAUACCAUUGUUCAAUAUUGUGGCGGACCCUGUCCUAUCCCUGUUUGGUUACCCGAACAAACUAUGUUCCCCAAAGUACGCUCACUGGCAGAUGGUGGCCAUUUU